rnacentral:tRNA from 1 species
GCGCCCAUAGCUCAACGGUUAGAGCAGCGGACUCAUAAUCCGUUGGUUGCAGGUUCGAAUCCUGCUGGGCGCA